rnacentral:rRNA from 1 species
AUACGAAGGGGGCUAGCGUUGUUCGGAAUCACUGGGCGUAAAGCGCGCGUAGGUGGAUCAAUUAGUUGAGGGUGAAAUCCCGGGGCUCAACCUCGGAACUGCCUUCAAUACUGUUGAUCUUGAGACCGAGAGAGGUGAGUGGAAUUCCUAGUGUAGAGGUGAAAUUCGUAGAUAUUAGGAAGAACACCAGUGGCGAAGGCGGCUCACUGGCUCGGUACUGACGCUGAGGUGCGAAAGCGUGGGGAGCAAACAGGAUUAGAAACCCCAGUGUCC